GGUCUCAUCGUCUAGUGGCUAGGACACCAGAUUCUCAUUCUGGUAACACGGGUUCAAUUCCCGUUGGGACUGCCA
rnacentral:tRNA from 1 species